rnacentral:rRNA from 1 species
GACGGGGGGGGCAAGUGUUCUUCGGAAUUACUGGGCGUAAAGGGCGCGUAGGCGGAUGGCACAGUCAGAUGUGAAAUUCCCGGGCUUAACCUGGGGGCUGCAUUUGAUACGUGUUGUCUUGAGUUCGGAAGAGGGUCGUGGAAUUCCCAGUGUAGAGGUGAAAUUCGUAGAUAUUGGGAAGAACACCGGUGGCGAAGGCGGCGACCUGGUCCGACACUGACGCUGAGGCGCGAAAGCGUGGGGAGCAAACAGG